AUCUUUGCUCUUGGGGCAAUGAUGCAGGUAGUGAGGUUCUAACUUAGGCGCGUCUAUUGAUGGUUGAAAUCUACUUCCAAACCCCCCGCUUAUUGAUGAUGAAACGCUUCACUGCUUACACAAAACUUCACCAAAAAUAGACCAGUGACUAAGAAAUUUUGAUAGCUUCAUUGCU
rnacentral:snRNA from 1 species